GGGUUUAUCCGUUGGUCGGGCUUUUGGGUCUGUACUGGCGCGAUGAAUUCCUACCUUCUGAAUAACCAGCAUGCCAUUAAUUUGGUGCGCCGGGGAAGCAGGACUGUUACCUUGAAAAAAUUAGAGUGUUUAAAGCAAGCUAACGCUUGAAUACAUUAGCAUGGAAUAAUGAAAUAGGACGUUCGAUCCUAUUUUGUUGGUUUCUAGAGUCGCCGUA
rnacentral:rRNA from 1 species